AAAAGAUGAAAACAAAACCUACACUGCAUCAUUUUUCUUAAAGCCUGAGAGAAUGUUUGCUUAUUUGUUUAUUUGGUUGUUUUUACAACGGGUAUGGGACCCAAGACCUCAUGAAUGCUGGGUAAUCACUCUUUCACUUUAUUUACAUCCUGCCCAUCCCUGCCAUUUAUCUAUCUAUCUAUCUAUCUAUCUAUCUAUCUAUCUAUCUAUCUAUCUAUCUAUCUAUCUAUCUAUCUGAGGCUGACAAGUUGCCUUGAAUUUGUUACUUAGCUCAGGCUGGCUGAAAAGCUGUAAUCCUUCCGAUUUAGUCCUACCUCUCACAUCUCUCGAGUAGCUGGAUAUUUCAGCUUGGACCAUCCUGGACAGUCUGACAAAUAUUAAAACAUCUAAUAAUGACACUUCUUGUAGGAAGUAGAGGCUGACCAACCACUGAUGUUUGCCAGGAAUAGCCCUAGUUUUAAAACUUAAAGCCUGGUCUUUCUGGUAAACCACAGACAGUGGCAGUCCCGGGAGGAAGACAGGCCAGGGUGAGAUAGGUGAGCUCUCAGCUGUGUAUGUGUUUUAUUUUCUUUGAGACAGAAUCUUUUUAUGUUGCCCAGAGUGACCUCUAACCCCUGAGCUUAAGUAAUUCUUUCGCCUCAGCCUCCGCAGGGGCAGAGAUUACAGUUGACUACUACUUCACCUGGCCAAAGAAAUCCAGUUUUUCUUUUUCUUACUUCCAGUCUAUCCCGUCUCUCCUUUAAUAGAUAGCCAUUAAAAUAAUUUUUUGGUUUAUCCUUCCACAGUUUAUUGCAUUACCAUAAGCAGAUUAAACACUCACACCCACACACACCCUUUCUC
rnacentral:lncRNA from 1 species